rnacentral:lncRNA from 1 species
UUUGUACAGCACAGGGAAAUAGAGCCAUUAUUUUAUAAUAACUUUAAAUGGAGAUAAAAAUAUUAAAUCACUUUGCUGUAUACUUGAAACUAAUAAUGUAAAUCAACUACACUUCAAUAAAAUUUAAACAGAUGCACAUUAUCUGAGUUCAAAAAAAAGUAACUUAGAAAAUUUGGGGCAUUUCAUGAAACAACAGACUAUAUUAUUAUAUUGGAUUUACACUGAGAAAUUUUCUUAUAGCAUAUGAAAAUCUAAAAAGAUGAUAGCAGUUCCUGGCAGAAGUUAAUGGUUAUGGGCACUUAAUUAAUGAUAAAUGAAUCAACUCUUUUUGGAAUUUGGUUGUGUUUUAAAAGGGCUUUGGGUGGUCCCUGAGUAGAUAAGUGGUGCUCUCUCAUGUGCCUAUUGUCCCUACUUAAAUUUAAUAGCGCCUCUUUCCCUCACAAAAAUGUUUUUGUUUGAAUGGUAAUUUUACCACCAUUCUUUCUAUGGACAACCCCUCCCUGGAUAAACAAAGAUCAUCAUUUUUUAGAGUCUGGUACCCAAAUAUGGCAGGUGGACUUUGCAUUUCAUUGAAAAUCAAAGUCUGUUGCAGACAGCAGGAAGAAUCUGCAGAGUUGUCAGCUGCUUGCACCUCUGAUUGAGUUUGGGAAAACAGAUCAGUUCAGAAUCACUAUCCUCUCAGUGAAAACUGCAGGAUGAUCAAUUCCAAAUACUACAUAUCUGAGUGAGCAGACGUUAUCUACACAUUUGUUUCUUCACUUCCUCUUCUCCACAUGUUCCCGUCUCGUCACUCAAAGAGCUAUUAACAAUAACUCCAAGAAGCAGUGGGAACUAAUGACAAGUUUCAUCCCCUCCGUUUAAUAAUGCAGUCCUAAUUCUAGUGUAUUCAUUAUCCCCCAGCACCAAACCAUUUCCAUUUGCACACCAAAGCAAUCCUCCGUAUCUAUAGUGUUGAUGUCAGCUUGAUCUGCACUGAUCACCUUCAUUAAGAAUACACUUUUACUGAGUAAUGUGAUCCAAAAACAGAUGCUUCCUGAAUAUACCACUCAUUGUAUUGACGAAAAGACAACAGCAUGAAGGUCAAAAGCCAUUGCAUUUUUCCAUUUACUGGAGGGACAAGUAGAUAAAGAAUGACGAGUUCAUUAAUUCUGUUAUUCAUUCAACAAACACACCAGCUAUGUUUUAGGAAUCUGAUCAUUGGCAGGACCCAAAGAUGAAUAACAAAACAAGGAACAGACUCUUAAGGAGAAAGAUGUCCAGUGAGGAAAAGUAUAACAAUCUCAUUUCUGGAAACCAGGACAUUGUGCCUUGACUGGGGUCCCAGGAAAUAGACUUGGUUUACACAAUGGAAGUGUCAAUGUUGGCCCACUGGCUAGAGAGCACAGAAGAGAAGCAGAUUGGAGAGACAUGGAAGGCAGAGUUAAGAGCUAAGUGAAGAGUACAACUGAAGCAAUAAUCACAAGGGCCUUGUAUUAGUUUGCUAGGGCUCCUAAAACCAAGUUCCACAAGCCGAGAGACUUAACAGAGACCUAUUGUCUCAUAGUUUCAGAGUCUACAAGUCUAAAAUUAAGGUGUUGGCAGACUUGGUUCCUUCUGAGAGCUGUGAGGAAAACUCUGUUCUAAGCCUUUCCCCUAGCUUCUGGUGGUUUGCUAACUGUCUCAGGCAUAGCAGCAUUAUCCCAAUCUCUGCCUUCAUCUUCACGUGCUGUUUUCCCUGGCAUGCACAUCUUUAUGUCUGAAUUUCUUCUUCAUAAGGAGACCAGUCAGAUUGGGUUAUGAACCACCCUAAUGACCUCAUUUUAAUUUAACUGAUUGCAUCUGUGAUGACUUUGUUUUCAAAUAAGGCCACAUUCUGAGACACUGCAGUUGGGAGAGAGGGUGGUUACAGCUUCAAUUCUUGAGGGACGCAAUUCAGCUCAUAACAGCUGGGCAAAGACACAGAGAUACUUAUUAGAUACUUUAUAGUAGCUAAUAAGGCAGGAAUUGGAUAUAUCAAGAUGGAGCAGAAGACUGACAGAGCCUGGGCAGAGUUCUCAAGACCCUGGCAUGUAGAGUGUUUGUUUUUUAAUUGGACUCCUGAAGCUCAUGUGUGAGGAAAGAGGUGCUUAGGUAAGAAGUCCAUUCUAAAAGAGAGAGAGACACAUCAUGGGAGCCUGAGCAGUAGAGCUAACCUGAUUGGGUGACUGACUGGUUUUCUGAGAACCCUGAAAAGAAUUAUACCAGGUCAUACCAAAGCCUCUUCACCCUAUUCCCCCUUUGCCUCUGAGAGUCUGACAAUGGAAAAGCACAGAUACUUUCUUCCCUUAUUUAAUCUUAACUAUUGCACACCCUAAAUUCUUAGCCACUGCUUUGGUCCUAUAAUUGAUAUUUUCUUCAAACACUGGGAAACCAUUUGCUUUUACGUGUGUGUGUGUGUGUGUGUGUGUGUGUGUGUGUGUGUGUGUGUAUGCGUGUGGUGGGAAAUAGGGGGUUAAGUGAUGUUCAUAUGUCUAUUAUAUACUGUGUGAUGGGGUGUUCCUUUAGUUUGUUGCUUUGUUUUAAACCUCAUUUAAGUUUCAGAUGAUUAAUAUUGCUUUUCUUAGUAUUUCCUGGUCCAUAACUCAUUCAGUUUUCAUAGGGACACUCCUUGUCUGAAUAUUCUAGCUUUGGUAUGUUUUCUUCAUCUUAUCUCAAGAUGACAUUCCAAAUCAGCACACUUUGUUCCAAUUUCAUUAGCACAUCUAUCACCACAGUAGAGAACGGGGGUUUUCAGAGUGUGGUCUCCACAGAGCAACAUCAGCAUCACUGGAAAUUUUAGAAAUACAAAUUGUCCACCCUGCCCCCAACUACAUCACCACCAGACCUAUAGAAUCAGAAAUUCUUAGGAGUGCAGCCCAGAAAUCUCUGCUAAAUAUCCCUUGGACUACUCUGGUCACUAGACCAAUAUAAUUUCUCACCUGGUCUCAUGCACAGUCUCCUAACUGGCAUCCUCACAUACUGUCUAUUCUCCGUGCAAGAGCUAGUGUGACCUCCUCAAAAUGUUGGUCAGAUGGUUCAAUUCUCCUGAUUAAAACUUCUAAAGCAAAGCCUUCCCAUUGCACUUAUAGUAAAAGUCAAGUUCUCACCCUACCUUGCAAGGCCUUGGGUGAUUUGUCCUCUGUUGGCUAUUCCGCUCCUCACUGUAUGCCUUUCUCAACCUUGCCCAUCAUACUCCAGGAACACUGGCAUUUUAGUUGAUGGAACAUGCUAAGUUAGCAUGUUUGCUUUUAUAUCCUUGGGUAUCUGAUGAUUAAAAGACACAUACUAGAUAACUACUGAACAAAUUAUUUAAUUUGGAAAAUGUACCUUGUUUGCAAUUUCAUUGAAUCUAAAAUUUUUCCUUAAGUUUUAUCUUUAUAUUCUUAAGAACCCUAUUCUUUUAUCAUUUCUCUCCAGAUGUCUCCAUCCUUUAGAUCAUUUCAAUUAACCAUUAGUAAGCUCUACAGAAGAUUACUGAAGCAACUACUAGUACAAUAAAAUAUGGGCUCAUCAGCACAAGUUCAUAUGCUAGUAGAAAAACAGCCAUGAAAAUACCUCCUCAAAAAAUUAACUUUGUGGUAUUUGCCAUAACACAUGGUAAUGAAGAUAAUAUUUGAACUGGGUCCAAAAGGAAAAGAAAGAAUUCUCCAAGCAGAGAAUUGUAUAAGCAUAUUCCUGGCAGAGGAUGUGCAAAGGCACUGAGCUAUAAAGAAAAGAUGAUAAGUUCAGCAUGGCUUGCUUUUGGGAAAGAGAAACUGCACCUAAUACUGAUGAAUUAUAGCAGACCCUACUUAUAAUAAAGGACUCCUUAAGCAAGGGACUUUAGCUUUCACCUUGUGAAAAGUGGGACAUUCCAUAUUGUUUUCACAGUGACUACACCAUUUUGCAUUCCCACCAAAAGCAUACAAAAAUUCUAAUUUCUCCACAUACUUAUGUCUUUGGGAUUUGAUAAUCCUAGCAAAUGUAAGGUGAUAUCUCACUGUACUUUUGGUUUGCACUUGCUAAUGAUCAGUGACACUGAGAGUCUUUUCUUAAAGGAAAUCAGAUUUCUAAUCUGGACGGGGGAGGACCAUAUUUGAGUUUAGGGUCCCUCUGGUGGUAGUAUGGGGGAUGGACUUGAAAAGGAGACAGGAGUCAUGAAACAGGUUCAGAGGCUAUAACUUCUUAAGCUUCUCUGCUUUUCUUCCUUCUUCCUUCUGUGGAGAUACCUGGCUCAAUCUUCACCACUUUAGACAGUGACAACAUUGGUCAGUAGUGUUCCCUCUAGUUGUUCUGGGUUUAGUUCCAAGUCUUGUCAGUUUUGGAACAAUGUGGGCUCUCUGUGAAGUAAUGUUCCCGUGGGCCCAACAGAUAUUGUUACCCAGUGAAUCUCCUUUGGGGUCCCUUUUUCUGUGCCAUCUUCAGGCUUUGACACUUUAAUGUCAAAAUUACCUAGAGCAUCACAUGUUCACUACUCCUGCUUUGUAAGACUUUGGCCACCCUGCCUAUCCAUACCUAUUUCCUGGUACUCAUGAACCUCCAAUCUUUUAUGCCAGUGUGGGCCAUUGUUAAGUUUCUAAUUUAUUCUGUAGAUAUAGAAAUUAGUUCUUAGGUGUUCCCGUCAUGGUGCAGUGGUUAACGAAUCCGACUAGGAAACAUGAGGUUGAGGGUUCGAUCCCUGGCCUUGCUCAAUGGGUUAAGGAUCUGGCAUUGCCGUGAGCUGUGGUGUGGGUUGCAGAUGAGGCUCGGAUCCUGCCUUGCUGUGGCUCUGGCGUAGGCCAGCAGGUGGCUACAGUUCCAAUUAGACCCCUAGCCUGGGAACCUCCGUAUGCCG